CACGUAGGGUGCGAGCGUUGUCCGGAAUUAUUGGGCGUAAAGAGCUCGUAGGCGGUGUGUCGCGUCGGCCGUGAAAACCUGCAGCUUAACUGUGGGCUUGCGGUCGAUACGGGGCAUCACUGGAGUUCGGCAGGGGAGACUGGAAUUCCUGGUGUAGCGGUGAAAUGCGCAGAUAUCAGGAGGAACACCGGUGGCGAAGGCGGGUCUCUGGGCCGAUACUGACGC
rnacentral:rRNA from 1 species